rnacentral:lncRNA from 1 species
UUUAAACCGUAAAUGGAUAUGAGAAAGCGUGUGUGCAUAUAGACCUAUUACUCUCUGACCAACUUGUGAAGCCAGCUGUUUGAACAUCUGUGCUUAUGUUGGACAUUCACAGCUGCAGAGGGGUCAGCCUCAACCGUGAAUUUGGCCUGCUCCACUGUCCUCACCCCACAGGGGUCCCCAGUCCCUGUCAGCCCCAUGCUUCUCUGCCAGGGCGCCCCCUCGUCCAUCCUGCUGCUACGCAAACCUUGCUCCACAGUCAGCAGUAAAGGAAAAGGCAGGACAUCUUUGCACAGUUCAGAGAAGAACUUCAGUUUAUCCAAACUUCACUUGGUGAGGUCCGAGUCCACUCCCUGUUCACGGAAACAUGAAAUCGCUGCGUCCCGACCUCUCAAUGGACCCGAAACACCAGAGGAACAUCCACCGCUAAAACCUCGGCCUACAUUUUAUCCGUCCACUCAGCCUCUGUUAACCUCAACUCUACUUCAGCAAAAAAUCCCACCCGUGACUUCUACCCCUCAGUCGCCUUACCCGAAAGACAGCCCAGGUUUGGUAUGUCAUCUGGACUUCAGAAAAGUGUCAACAGAAUCCCUGGAUUCCCUAAGCCAGUCGUCCGCUAAGUCAGCGGAAAUCAGCAAUAGAAGCUUCAAGGAGAGCCCCAAUGUUCCAGUGAUGGUCCCCCUCGAAAGAGAGGUGAAGCUUUUUAUUUUGUUAUUACUAAAUAAAUUAAAAACAUGCUUCAAUGCUCUUUCAUUCUUCUACUAUAACAGCAAACACCCCUGACAGCUCAGGACCUGGAUGUUUCACAGCCUUUUAUUUCAGGGCCAAGUCGCAAGCGCCAUAGCUCAACUUCCAGUAAUUCUGAUGAAGAAAAGAAGAAUAGAUAUGGGAAGGAAAAAAAGAAGGAAAGCCAGUUUCGAAUGAAGCGCUCUCCUCGAAUCAAACCAAGGAAGCUCUUCAAGUCAUGUAACUCCUUCCAUGUUCUUUGACUUCAAAUGUUUUACAGUCUAAACAUCAAUUACUGCCUGUUAAGGUAAUAAUGCUUAAAGGAAAACUAGCAAAAGCUACAAUACAGUAAGCAUUCUCAUAAAAACUGAUUUUUGACAACUUAAAAGUACAUUUACUACUUUCAUCAUUAUAGACGUUUCUUUGAUCUGAAGUUUUUGAAUUACAGGCUUUAUGUUUUUAAUAAUUCAACAGCUCAUUAGUUAAACUUCUUGUGGUUUUUUGUUCAUUGUUGAGGGAAUUUCUCCAGACAGCAUGAUGUUAGUACAUAUCUCAUGGAACAUUUUUAUUGUUUCCUGGCGUCAGAUUCAGUGUCCUAAAAUAACUUCCUGAAUUUGUUUUUUACAAAAACACAUAAAGUUUAAAUAUUUUCCACUUGUUUUACCCAGUCACUGAAGUGUCUGCUUCAGAAAAGAUGAGCCUGGCAGUUUCUACAUCUCACCUGAGCUUCACUCACUGUGGAUCUGAUGCAACCGAUGGAGACGUGGAAGUGGAUGAGAGCUUAGGUUGUCCAGACAUUUCUGUAAACCAGAGUAACUUGUACCAGCAUCUGAGCUCUGAGCUGAAAAACAAGCUGCAGGUAAGCAUCUAUUCAACUAAUCUUUCUCACAUUUAAUUUUCUUUUAUUAUUUUAAAUAAUAAAUAAACAGUUAUUCCAAGUAAUCCUUUUAUGUUUUCUGCAUGGUCGCUGUGUGUGCUUUAGAAACUUUUUUUAUGGUUGUUGAACAAACCUUUUCCUUUUUUUUAAGAACCGCUGCAAAGUGCUGGAGGUUUACGGCAAAGAGUCUUCAAAGUCUGUUAAGAAACACAUCUCUUCCAUCAAUGUCCAGCUUAGCAAACACAGGCAAGUUCCUUUGACCCAUACAUAAAAAAUAAAAUAAAAAAUCAUGGUAAGAAAUUAUGUGAUAUUUGUGGCAAAUUCAUGUUUCACUUCAAACUUUUAUGUUUGAUAAAUUCCACAUAUAUUUUCCUAAAAAUGCAUAUAUAUAUUUUUUUGUACUUUUACUCACUGAUCAAACAGAAUUCAAAGACUCGAGCAUGUUAAGGAGGUUCUCCUGGAGGAGAUCCACAGCAUGGAAGAGAACGAGAACAUGCUGAGUAACAUGGAGAAAGACCUAACUGUGAGGCAAACACAUUCACAUGCAUCAAGGGAAAUUCAAAAUGUUUGAAAUAUUCACCUGAAAAUGCUUAUCUUAUAUUUUGCUGAAUACUUCUGUUUAUUUGUUUGUUGGACUUGCUCUUUGGCAGAUCUUUUGGAAAAAACAAACAGGGACCUUUAAGAAAUACCAGAAGCAAGAAGUAAGGAGGUGAGUUCAGAUCUGAAUGACAGUAAGCACCAACGAGAGACAUAUUUUUUUAUUAAGAAUAUCUUUGAUUUAAUCUGAGUCUGUAACUUUCCACAGGCUCAAAUACAGUAUUAAUGCUAAGCUUUUUAAAAAUUUAGUCCAAAGUAUUCAUUUUGAAAUCUGUGUUUGUUUUCUCCCUAAAAACGUGAUUAACAAAAUGUUUUUUUAUAUAUGAGGAUGAAGUCAGUUCUACUUUUUUUCAUAACAUUUUAUCCAGCUUAUAUAGACUUACAGAUGAUGUGCCAGUAUGUACUGACUGUUAUCCAGCCAGCACCAGAAUAAAAUAUAAGCCCCCUAAUUUAACCAUAUGCGUCACAUGCCUCCUCAUCUCUAUACUUAGCUUAUAUGGAAUGAUCCG